UUAUCUGGCGGGGCAGCUGGUUCGCCCCACCCCGCGCGGGUGGACGCGACGAAAGAGGGAACCCGGUGCGAAUCCGGGACUGCCCCGCAGCGGUGAGCGGAAACGACCGCCGUCACGUGCACUGGCCCGACCCGGGCCGGGAAGCGACGGCCACUAGGCGUCCUGCCGGCAGGCACCUGCCCGGCACGACAUGUCCGCGAGUCCGAAGACCUGCCACUGCCCGCGUGCAGCC
rnacentral:ncRNA from 2 species